AGGUCGUGUUGUGUCCAAUUUCGUAUCAUCACCUUGUAACAUUCCCAAGCUUCAUAUAUUGUUUCCCCAUCAAAUUGUUGGAAGUUAAGGAUCUUCAUUUUCAGCUU